rnacentral:rRNA from 1 species
GGCACCUGAUUACUUUAAUUACUAUUUCUAGUGGCGGACGGGUGAGUAACACGUUGGAACCUGCCCCAAAGUGAGGAAUAGCCACCGAAAGGUGGUCUAAUACUUCAUAAUAUCCAUCUCGUAUGGAUUAAAGCUUUAUGCGCUUUGGGAGGGGCCUGCGUAACAUUAGCUUGUUGGUGAGGUAAAAGCUCACCAAGGCUUCGAUGUUUAACUGGUUUGAGAGGAUGACCAGUCACACUGGGACUGAGAUACGGCCCAGACUCCUACGGGAGGCAGCAGUAAGGAAUCUUCCACAAUGGGGCAACCCUGAUGGAGCAAUACCGCGUGCAGGAUGAAGCGUUUCGGCGUGUAAACUGCUUUUAUCACCGAAGAUUAUGACUGUAGGUGAAGAAUAAGGACCGGCUAACUACGUG